AUUGAACGCUGGCGGCAUGCCUUACACAUGCAAGUCGAACGGCAGCAUGAUCUUGCUUGCUAGAUUGCUGUCGUGUGCCGAACGCGUGAGUAAUACACCUGAACGUCCCCUUUAGUGGGGGAUAACUAGUCGAAAGAUGCGCUAAUACCUCAUACGACCUGAGGGUGGAACUGGGGUACCGCAAUGCCUCAUGCUCUAUCAGCUUCCGAUGUCUGCUUAGCUAGUUGGUGAGGUAAAGGCUCACCAAGCCGACGAUCACUAGCUGGUCUGAGACGACGAUCAGCCACACUGGGACUGAGACACGGUCCAGAAUCCUACGCGAGGCAGCAGUGGGGAAUUUUGGACAAUGGGCGGAAGCCUGAUCCAGCAAUGCCGCGUGUGUGAAGAAGGCCUUCUGGUUGUAAAGCACUUUUGUCCGGAAAGAAAUGGCUCUGGUUAAUACCUGGGGUCGAUGACGUUACCGAAAGAAUAAGGACCGGCUAACUACGUG
rnacentral:rRNA from 1 species